CCCCAGAGAAUAGCUCAGUCAAUAGAGCGUGAGACUCUUAAUCUCAGGGUUAUGGAUUCAAGCCUCACACUGGGCA